UUUGUUACUUUUGUCUGUUUCAUUAGACCAGUUUAUUCUAACCAUCAUGUUGUGGGCAGCCAAGUUUUCUAGCUAUGAAGUCCACUGGUGGAAAGUUGCUUGUAUUUCAGUCAGUGUUUCUACAGAAGGCCACCAACAUUACCCGCUGAUGCAUCACUAGGGAAUGAAAUUUGUUCAGUAAACAAAUCAGUUGAAGCUUCCCUUUCCAUCCAGCAACAACCUCACGGAUGUGUUAUUAGCAUGGAGCAUUGGUCGUGCUUUCGUGCAGAAGGCUAAAUUGGAGAGCCUUUAGAAGCAGCUGUCGUUUUUUGCAUCUUAAAGCCCCAUAAAUUGGAAAGCCUGUAGAAGCAGAUGCUGCACAGAUUCCUAAGGACCAUGGUGGUAUCACCAUGUUUUCAAUCUAGAAUGCUGACGACAAAACCUGAAGGAUAGGAAUCAAUCUUGGAACAAUUUUUUGAGGCUGACGAAAAUGGUCAUCUUUUGAAGAUGUUGGGGAUGCCCGCCACCAGAAGUUUGCUGUUGGAUUCAGUUGUUCCUAUCAAUGUUAAUACUCUUCGAUGUAAAUUAUUAGUGUCGUAUUAGCUCCAAGAGGAUCACUACGCAAGUGAGAAACCUGAUGUUAAUGUUCGCACGUGUCGAACAAUUAAUGUUCUUAGGACUCCAAAAUUGCUUUAGCAUAAGGACAUCCUAUUUCACCGUGUUGUAAACUAUGCUAAGAAACUACUACUUAGCUAACUAUUUGAUGCUAAUGCCACUCUUCUUUGCAAUCGAAAUUCAUAAUUGUGCUGCA